rnacentral:tRNA from 1 species
GCGCCUGUAGCUCAGGUGGACAGAGCAACGGUUUCCUAAACCGUGGGCCGCAGGUUCGAGUCCUGCCAGGCGCA